rnacentral:rRNA from 1 species
CCUACGGGUGGCAGCAGUGAGGAAUAUUGGUCAAUGGGCGCGAGCCUGAACCAGCCAAGUAGCGUGAAGGAUGACUGCCCUACGGGUUGUAAGCUUCUUUUAUAAAGGAAUAAAGUGAGGCACGUGUGCCUUUUUGUAUGUACUUUAUGAAUAAGGAUCGGCUAACUCCGUGCCAGCAGCCGCGGUAAUACGGAGGAACCGAGUGUUAUCCGGGUUUAUUGGGUUUAAAGGGUGCGCAGGGGGCCUGUUAAGUCCGCGGUAAAAGCACGGGGCUCAACCCCGGCGAGCCGUUGAAACUGGAGGGCUGGAGUUGGAGAGAGGUACGCGGAAUGCGCGGUGUAGCGGUGAAAUGCGUAGAUAUCGCGCAGAACCCCGAUUGCGAAGGCAGCGGACCGGAUCCACACUGACGCUGAGGCACGAAAGCGUGGGUAUCGAACAGGAUUAGAUACCCGUGUAGUC